rnacentral:lncRNA from 1 species
UGACAAACUACCAAAUUCCUUAUUUAAAACACACAAAAAAAAAAAAAAAAAAAAAACAGUGCAAUUUCAUUUCAUCAGACUAAGAUGGGUACAACUUUUGAUACAUGAACGGCCACACUUUGUUAUUGCACUUCACCAACCCAAAAUAGAAAAUGAUUGCUACAAUUGGAGGAAACAUGGGCAGAAGCAUGUAAAGGCGAGUGAGUGUCCAAGAAGCUACUACAAAUGUAUGCAUUUUAAUUGUCCUGUCAAGAAGAAGGUCGACUGAUCUGUUGAAUCGUUGAUGAUCAUAUAACUGAGAUUACAUAUAAAGGGCAGCACAAUCAUGAUAUGCCUCAACCCUCUAAACACGGAAGAGAUAGACAGAUAGUUGUGCUUUGGAUGGAACUUCGAACUCCCAGGUGAAGCUGGUAAUUAGUUCACAGAGUCAGGGUGAAAUGUGCCUGGAAAAUGAGGUUGCACCUUUUCAACCUGGACCUUCAAAAGUUCAGGAAUCUACACAAUCAGUAUCUGAGCAUCGUCCCGGCUCUCAAUUAAUCUUAAUGAAGUGGAAGAUUCAACAAUUUAAACCAAUGACAGGAAUGAUGAUGAACCUAAUACAAAAAGAAGGUAAAAUUUAUAUGGAUUUUUCUAUUUAAAUUAUCCCAAUGAACAUAUUUUCUACUCAAUCAUUUACUUAUGUGGUAUACCUCCCUUUGAAAUGCAGGGAGUAUUGAGAUUGGGUCGUCCAUGCAAGCACCAACAAAUAAAACAAUUACGGAAUCUAGAAUCGUUUGGCAGACAAGAAGUGAAAUUGAUCUGUUGGAUGAUGGAUAUAAAUGGCAAAAAUAUGGCCAGAAGGUGGUCAAGGGGAAUCCUCAUCCAAGGUGCAACUCCUUUCGUUACACGUCGUUUACUAUUUUUCUGCUACGCAUUUGUUUUUGAAUUUAUUCUCCCCAUAUUGUUUG